AGAAUCAACGCUGGCGGCGUGCCUAACACAUGCAAGUCGAACGAGAAAGUGGAGCAAUCCACGAGUAAAGUGGCGCACGGGUGAGUAACACGUGACUAACCUACCCUUGAGUGGGGGAUAACCUAGGGAAACCUGGGCUAAUACCGCAUAAUACCUACGGGUCAAAGGAGCAAUUCGCUUAAGCGAGGGGUCGCGGCCGAUUAGUUAGUUGGCGGGGUAAUGGCCCACCAAGACGAUGAUCGGUA
rnacentral:rRNA from 1 species